AUUGAACGCUGGCGGCAGGCCUAAUACAUGCAAGUCGAACGGUAACAUAAGAAAGCUUGCUUUCUUGAUGACGAGUGGCGGACGGGUGAGUAAUAUUUGGGAAGCUACCUGAUAGAGGGGGACAACAGUUGGAAACGACUGCUAAUACCGCAUACAGCCUGAGGGUGAAAGCAGCAAUGCGCUAUCAGAUGCGCCCAAACGGGAUUAGCUAGUAGGUGAGGUAAAGGCUCACCUAGGCGACGAUCUCUAGCUGGUCUGAGAGGAUGAUCAGCCACAUUGGGACUGAGACACGGCCCAGACUCCUACGGGAGCAGCAGUAGGGAAUAUUGCACAAUGGAGGAAACUCUGAUGCAGCCAUGCCGCGUGUGUGAAGAAGGCCUU
rnacentral:rRNA from 1 species